AGAUUAGAUUUCUACCUUUCAGGCAGCUACAAUAGUGAAAAGAUUCCCAACUAUAUGAACCACUGGAAAUGGACUGCUUUCCUUUUUUUUGUACCCCUCUGCUCAAUAAAAGCAAUCGGCUGAGGAUGAUAAUUAGACAAUUGCAACAACGCAGCCAGCAUUAAUACAUUUGUGGAGAUAUGUACCCUCACAAGAUAUUAGGACACAACCAUUCUAUUCAAAGAGGCUACCAUUAGACUUCCUCAUUACAGGCUUUUGCACAGUACGUGAUAUGUGGAGCCUAAAGAGAGGCAAAAAAUAAAAGUGCAUAAUGGGAAA